AAAAUGUAUGCCUGAAUAUUUUGGUUUAUAUGAUACAUUAAUUUUUUGGGACACGUGUCUUCUUAUAUUGAGAAUUUCAUCUAUCAACCAUUCCAUAGAAUAAAUAUCUAAAUGUAAUAUUGUGAUAUUACAAGAAAAUGUCAAUUUCUUUUGCUAUAAUCAUAUUGUAAUAUUACAUGAAAAUCUCGAUAACCCUUGAAUGUUAAUCGUCCCACACUCCUCUAGCUAUGGCAGUGAGCUUUGGUGUGCUUAGUUUUCAGCCUCAAUCUUCAUCAACGUCAUCAUUUAAGGAAGCCAUUAGAAGUUCCAUACUUUCUAAAUGAUAAAAAGCAAGAUCUACAAAUCAACAACAAACAUAGAGUUAACGAAUACCUUAUCAUACUAUUCAAUUAUUUUGGCGUCAAUAAAAAUAUAUUACAGAAAAAUAUAUAUUAAAUUACCUUAUUUAUAGAUAAUUAAACUAACCAAAUAUAUAUUAAAUUGCCUUAUUGUGUCUGAGCUGCAAAUGAAUAGGUGAAGUACCACUUCAUGGUCUUGCCUUGCCAAUGCAUCAAGAUAGAAAAUGUAAUUGAUGAUAAGACCUAGUACAAGGAAUAUUCUCCAUUUAUUGCUACAUUCAUAGAUAAUACAUAAAAUUAAUGAAACACACCUAAUAUAUAUAUAUAUAUAUAUAUAUAUAUAUAUUAUAUAACAAUGCAUCUAAAUUAAGGUUGUUAUUAGAUUUUAUCAUUCUUUAUUAUUCGGUAUUUUAUUAUUAGAUAAUAAUGUUAGAAUAUGUAAAAUUACAAAAUAUUUCCAAGCUAAUUAAUAUUUGUAAUAUGAAAUAGGAAAACAUUUUUCUCUUAUAAUAAAUAUUUAUUGAAAACUUGAUUAAUGAUAUUUUUGGAAAACAUGAAUCAAGUUACUAAGGGGUUUCACUAUUAUCACUUCAUGGGAAUGACUUCAUUUUACUUGUUAUAAAAAUUGAUUUAAUUUAUCCCCACCAUGUUGUAGAAUUAGCUUUAUUAAAAAAUGUAUAUGAUGAAUUAAGAUAAGAAAUUUAAAUUCACAAACAUAAUAAACUAAUAAAACAAAAAAAUAAAAAUAAAGAGAUGCUAGAAAUAUAAAUAAUUUAAGAUAAUAAUUUAAAUUCACAAUCAUAAUAAACUAAUAAAACAAAAAUAUAAGUAAAUAAUAAAUGCCAAAAAUAAGAAGAAAUGGAUGAAUAAACUUACCUCAACUAUUAUACAUGAAUAUUAACCUCAAAUAGCGGUUCACAAAGAGGAGUGAAACAAAAUCCAAAUAACGAACUUAGA
rnacentral:lncRNA from 1 species